rnacentral:ncRNA from 23 species
UGCUCAUCCAGAGGGGUGGAGGGACCGGCCCUGCGAAGCCCCGGCAACCAUUCCAGCAUGUGACACCCGCGAACCCGCGGGACGGCUGGGACAGGUGCCAACUCCGGCCUGGGGACAAGGUGUCCGCCAGGAAAGAUGAGGG